AUUGAACGCUGGCGGCAUGCCUUACACAUGCAAGUCGAACGGCAGCACGGGUGCUUGCACCUGGUGGCGAGUGGCGAACGGGUGAGUAAUACAUCGGAACGUACCUUAUCGUGGGGGAUAACGCAGCGAAAGCUGUGCUAAUACCGCAUACGCCCUGAGGGGGGAAANCGGGGGGAUCGAAAGACCUCGCGCGAUUAGAGCGGCCGAUGCCUGAUUAGCUUGUUGGUGGGGUAAAGCCACCAAGGCGACGAUCAGUAGCUGGUCUGAGAGGACGAUCAGCCACACUGGGACUGAGACACGGCCCAGACUCCUACGGGAGGCAGCAGUGGGGAAUUUUGGGACAAUGGGGGAAACCCUGAUCCAGCAAUGCCGCGUGAGUGAAGAAGGCCUCGG
rnacentral:rRNA from 1 species